rnacentral:lncRNA from 1 species
UCGGUUCAAUGCUCUAGCAAAUAGAAAAUAUCCAUAAGCAGAAUGAAGAUCUGUAUAAGAAACCAAUUUUAUUAUUUGAAAAAAGUUGAAUUUCUUAGAAAUCAAUCAGCAGUAAGCAUAGCUGUGAGUUCCUGUUUACCUAACUUUGGUAAAAAACCAAUUUGUGAUGUGUAGCCUUACCUUCUCAAUUGCCAAAGAGAAAUUCAAGAGGUAAUGAAACUGAGACUUGGUCAUUCCAGUUAUCACUGUUGUGGACUGAACUAGAACAGACCUGCUGAAUUAUGUGGUCUUGGUUGAACUUUAUGAUUACGACUUUACUUUCAGAGGCUAUCUAAGCGCUGAGAUGGAUAAUCCUAGCUUAAUCUCGUUUUUCGUAUUUUUUGGGGGUACAUUUCCUUCCUUUGUAAUUUUUUUUGGGUACAUUUCCUAGUCUCUAUACUACUUUAGCUAGUGAGGGAAAGAAAAUCCAGAGUAAUGCAAGCAUGUGAGGCUGCAUGGAUUUGAACCAAUGGAUUUAAUUUGAAGUUUUGAUUAAAUGGGAAUUUUGAUUGGAUCUGGUCAAUUGUACGUUGUAACAUUGAAUUGGAAUCUGGACAUAAGCAAUCAGCUCAGAGUGAGAUUGUUUAUUGUUGAAAUCAACUGGACCACUAAGCAAUAUUUUGACUGAUUUCAGAGCAAGAGAAUUGAAGGAAGGGAUAUAUAUGGCUAGCUGUUUCUAUAGUUUUCCAAUGUAUAUGUACCCGGUUUCAUCACUGCCAUAAGAUAACAUGGGCAGAGAGAUUCAAAGAGGAGAAAAAAAUAUAGAGACUGACAUCAUGGAAAAGGAUUUGUUGAAAGAAAAUUGAAGAGACGAAGACGGAUCAGCCACUAGAAGCUCUGUCCACAAUACCCCACCAGUUAUGAUGCAGAAAAAGCUCUAGUCCAGGUACUUGGUUUUUAUUUUUUGUUUUGUUUUGUGAGUCUGAUUUUGUUACUUAUUCCUCUGUUUUGUGUUGCCAUUUGUGUUUUCUUUUAUGUGGUAGCCUAGUGGGAUGUUAGUAAAAGGUGGAGGUUAUUUUUAUUUUUGAGAUGUUAGUGUGGAAAAAAUUUCCGAAGGUG